ensembl:snoRNA SNORA72 Small nucleolar RNA SNORA72
GUGCAAAUAUUCUCACUGUUUUGAUUUUAUAAUAGGACAGGCUAACCAUUCACUUUAUUAAGAUCAUGCAUAUAUCCCCAGAACUAGUUCUUUCCCUAGGUCUAGUUUUAUAAAAUGCUGCUGAUAAAC